UACGGGGGGAGCAAGCGUUGUUCGGAUUUACUGGGCGUAAAGGGCGCGUAGGCGGCCACCGCAAGUCGGUUGUGAAAUCUCUGGGCUUAACCCAGAAAGGUCAAUCGAUACUGCGGGGCUAGAGUGCAGAAGGGGCAACUGGAAUUCUCGGUGUAGCGGUGAAAUGCGUAGAUAUCGAGAGGAACACCUGCGGCGAAGGCGGGUUGCUGGGCUGACACUGACGCUGACAGCGCGAAAGCUAGGGGAGCAAACAGG
rnacentral:rRNA from 1 species